rnacentral:misc_RNA from 1 species
AACGCACGAGACCUGCGGACCUGCGGAAGGAUCAUUAAUGAGAAACUGCCCCUCGCGGGUAGAUCUCCCACCCUUUGUAAACUUACCUUUGUUGCUUUGGCAGGCCCGUCUCCGGACCGCCGGCUUCGGCUGGCCAGUGCCUGCCAGAGGAUUCUAAAACUCUGUCUGUCAGUGUUGUCUGAGUCUAUAUACAAUCGUUAAAACUUUCCACAAUGGAUCUCUAGAUCGGAAGAGCACACG